rnacentral:rRNA from 1 species
UACGUAGGGACCAAGCGUUGUUCGGAUUUACUGGGCGUAAAGGGCGCGUAGGCGGCAAUUCAAGUCAUCUGUGAAAUCUCCGGGCUUAACUCGGAACGGUCAGAUGAUACUGCUUUGCUAGAGUGCGGAAGGGGCAAUCGGAAUUCUUGGUGUAGCGGUGAAAUGCGUAGAUAUCAGGAGGAACACCAAUAGCGAAGGCAGCUCGCUGGGACGUUACUGACGCUAAGGCGCGAAAGCGUGGGGAGCGAACAGG